rnacentral:rRNA from 1 species
CAGAGUUUGAUCCUGGCUCAGAUUGAACGCUGGCGGCAGGCUUAACACAUGCAAGUCGAGCGGUAACAUUUCUAGCUUGCUAGAAGAUGACGAGCGGCGGACGGGUGAGUAAUACUUAGGAAUCUACCUAGUAGUGGGGGAUAGCACGGGGAAACUCGUAUUAAUACCGCAUACGACCUACGGGAGAAAGGGGGCAGUUUACUGCUCUCGCUAUUAGAUGAGCCUAAGUCGGAUUAGCUAGAUGGUGGGGUAAAGGCCUACCAUGGCGACGAUCUGUAGCUGGUCUGAGAGGAUGAUCAGCCACACCGGGACUGAGACACGGCCCGGACUCCUACGGGAGGCAGCAGUGGGGAAUAUUGGACAAUGGGGGCAACCCUGAUCCAGCCAUGCCGCGUGUGUGAAGAAGGCCUUUUGGUUGUAAAGCACUUUAAGCAGUGAAGAAGACUCUGUGGUUAAUACCCACAGACGAUGACAUUAGCUGCAGAAUAAGCACCGGCUAACUCUGUGCCAGCAGCCGCGGUAAUACAGAGGGUGCAAGCGUUAAUCGGAAUUACUGGGCGUAAAGGGAGCGUAGGUGGCUCGAUAAGUCAGAUGUGAAAUCCCCGGGCUCAACCUGGGAACUGCAUCUGAUACUGUUGAGCUAGAGUAUGUGAGAGGAAGGUAGAAUUCCAGGUGUAGCGGUGAAAUGCGUAGAGAUCUGGAGGAAUACCGAUGGCGAAGGCAGCUUUCUGGCAUAAUACUGACACUGAGGCUCGAAAGCGUGGGUAGCAAACAGGAUUAGAUACCCUGGUAGUCCACGCCGUAAAACGAUGUCUACUAGUCGUUGGGUCCCUUGAGGACUUAGUGACGCAGCUAACGCAAUAAGUAGACCGCCUGGGGAGUACGGCCGCAAGGUUAAAACUCAAAUGAAUUGACGGGGGCCCGCACAAGCGGUGGAGCAUGUGGUUUAAUUCGAUGCAACGCGAAGAACCUUACCUGGUCUUGACAUAUCUAGAAUCCUGCAGAGAUGCGGGAGUGCCUUCGGGAAUUAGAAUACAGGUGCUGCAUGGCUGUCGUCAGCUCGUGUCGUGAGAUGUUGGGUUAAGUCCCGCAACGAGCGCAACCCUUGUCCUUAGUUACCAGCGGGUUAAGCCGGGAACUCUAAGGAUACUGCCAGUGACAAACUGGAGGAAGGCGGGGACGACGUCAAGUCAUCAUGGCCCUUACGACCAGGGCUACACACGUGCUACAAUGGUAGGUACAGAGGGCAGCUACACAGCGAUGUGAUGCGAAUCUCAAAAAGCCUAUCGUAGUCCAGAUUGGAGUCUGCAACUCGACUCCAUGAAGUAGGAAUCGCUAGUAAUCGCGGAUCAGAAUGCCGCGGUGAAUACGUUCCCGGGCCUUGUACACACCGCCCGUCACACCAUGGGAGUUGAUUGCACCAGAAGUGGAUAGCCUAACCCUCGGGAAGGCGUUCACCACGGUGUGGUUGAUGACUGGGGUGAAG